GCCUUCGUGGUGUAGAGGUCAGCACACUCGGCGCAUAUUCGAGAGGUCCAGGUUCAAUUCCCGGCGAAGGCA